rnacentral:tRNA from 1 species
GCCCGGGUGGCGAAAUUGGUAGACGCAAGGGACUUAAAAUCCCUCGGUAGAAAUACCGUGCCGGUUCGAUUCCGGCCCCGGGCA